GGUUGCGUUCAUACCAGCACUAAUGCACCGGAUCCCAUCAGAACUCCGUAGUUAAGCGUGCUUUGGCGAGAGUAGUACUAGGAUGGGUGACCUCCUGGGAAGUCCUCGUGUUGCAACCCC
rnacentral:rRNA from 1 species